rnacentral:rRNA from 1 species
GACGAACGCUGGCGGCGUGCCUAAUACAUGCAAGUAGAACGCUGAAGGAGGAGCUUGCUUCUCUGGAUGAAUUGCGAACGGGUGAGUAACGCGUAGGUAACCUGCCUGGUAGCGGGGGAUAACUAUUGGAAACUAUAGCUAAUACCGCAUAAGAGUAGAUGUUGCAUGACAUUUGCUUAAAAGGUUCAAUUGCAUCACUACCAGAUGGACCUGCGGUGUAUUAGCUAGUUGGUGGGGUAACGGCUCACCAAGGCGACGAUGCAUAGUCGAACGGAGAGGGGGGUCGGCCAGACUGGGAGUGAGACCCGGCCCAGAGGCCUACGGGAGGCAGCAGGAGGGAAUCUUGGGCAAGGGGCGGAAGACUGAGCGAGCAACGCCGCGGGAGUGAAGAAGGUUGUCGGAUCGUAAAGCUCGGUUGUAAGAGAAGAACGAGUGUGAGAGUGGAAAGUUCACACUGUGACGGUAGCUGACCAGAAAGGGACGGCUAACUACGUG